CUUCUAUCCUCUUCUGCUAAAUUGUUCUAGAUCUUUUUCAUCUUCAUUUAUCUUUAUCAAAGUUUCAUCCCUUUCUGACGUGCUUUGCUCAUUAGUCUUCUCCGUUGCGUCUUACCCUGUUCAAGUCACCAGAUGCCAUCUUUUCUCGAAGAUUAGCCUUUUUCUAGCGUCGCUCAAAUUUUUUUUUUUUUUUGUAAGAAUUUUAUGGUUUUCAAUUAAUCACUCAAUUACUAGCUCUUCUAAGAAAUUUUGUGUUCCAAGGACCAAGGUCAACCAAGUUAUGUGGAAUUAAUUGUUAUUUAGCUGAUAAGCUUAAUUGCUUUUGGUGGAUCAGAUAGCCAGCAUUUCUUACAACAAAUCAUGGGAUGGCUAAGGAGGAUCCAUUGAAACCUGGUGAAACUUGUGAUUGAAGACUACCAUUAUGCAAAAUGACCUACUCAUAUAGUAUGAUCGUGUUGGUUGUUGAAUUCAUUCGAGAAAGAAAAACUUGAUCGUGUUGCUAUUUAUUCUCCAUUGCGUGCAUGUUGGACAUAUAUAUAAAGAGCAAACGGUUUCUACAUUAGAUGUGCCAUCAUCUGCUUGUCUGAAAGCACUACGUUGUACUACUACUCUCUUUUUUCUGAAGCACCUAAUGCCUAGGAAUGGAAGUGAAGUUGAAGUUGAAGUUGAAGUUGUAUUCUGGACUUCAUUCUGGACUUCUUUGUCUGAAAUUUACAAGUGCUGAAGUUGUAUUUUCUAUUCUGAAUGAGGUUCAUAAUCUUACACAUC